UACGGGGGGAGCAAGCGUUGUUCGGAUUUACUGGGCGUAAAGGGCGCGUAGGCGGCUUUUCAAGUGACGGGUGAAAGCCCUCGGCUUAACCGAGGAACUGCCUGUCAGACUGGAAGGCUUGAGACCGGGAGAGGUGAGUGGAAUUCCCAGUGUAGCGGUGAAAUGCGUAGAUAUUGGGAGGAACACCAGUGGCGAAGGCGGCUCACUGGACCGGAACUGACGCUGAGGCGCGAAAGCGUGGGGAGCAAACAGG
rnacentral:rRNA from 1 species